UCCNGGCUCAGAUNGAACGCNGGNCGGCAGGCNNNACACAUGCAAGUCGAACGGUAGCACAGAGAGCUUGCUCUCGGGUGACGAGUGGCGGACGGGUGAGUAAUGUCUGGGAAACUGCCCGAUGGAGGGGGAUAACUACUGGAAACGGUAGCUAAUACCGCAUAACGUCGCAAGACCAAAGAGGGGGACCUUCGGGCCUCUUGCCAUCGGAUGUGCCCAGAUGGGAUUAGCUUGUAGGUGAGGUAACGGCUCACCUAGGCGACGAUCCCUAGCUGGUCUGAGAGGAUGACCAGCCACACUGGAACUGAGACACGGUCCAGACUCCUACGGGAGGCAGCAGUGGGGAAUAUUGCACAAUGGGCGCAAGCCUGAUGCAGCCAUGCCGCGUGUAUGAAGAAGGCCUUCGGGUUGUAAAGUACUUUCAGCGGGGAGGAAGGGAGUGAGGUUAAUAACCUCAUUCAUUGACGUUACCCGCAGAAGAAGCACCGGCUAACUCCGUGCCAGCAGCCGCGGUAAUACGGAGGGUGCAAGCGUUAAUCGGAAUUACUGGGCGUAAAGCGCACGCAGGCGGUCUGUCAAGUCGGAUGUGAAAUCCCCGGGCUCAACCUGGGAACUGCAUUCGAAACUGGCAGGCUGGAGUCUUGUAGAGGGGGGUAGAAUUCCAGGUGUAGCGGUGAAAUGCGUAGAGAUCUGGAGGAAUACCGGUGGCGAAGGCGGCCCCCGGNCAAAGAC
rnacentral:rRNA from 1 species